GAUGAACGCUGGCGGCGUGCUUAACACAUGCAAGUCGAACGGUGAAGCAGAGCUUGCUCUGUGGAUCAGUGGCGAACGGGUGAGUAACACGUGAGCAACCUGCCCCUGACUCUGGGAUAAGCGCUGGAAACGGCGUCUAAUACUGGAUAUGAGCUGCGACCGCAUGGUCAGCAGUUGGAAAGAUUUUUCGGUCUGGGAUGGGCUCACGGCCUAUCAGCUUGUUGGUGAGGUAAUGGCUCACCAAGGCGUCGACGGGUAGCCGGCCUGAGAGGGUGACCGGCCACACUGGGACUGAGACACGGCCCAGACUCCUACGGGAGGCAGCAGUGGGGAAUAUUGCACAAUGGGCGAAAGCCUGAUGCAGCAACGCCGCGUGAGGGAUGACGGCCUUCGGGUUGUAAACCUCUUUUAGCAGGGAAGAAGCGAAAGUGACGGUACCUGCAGAAAAAGCGCCGGCUAACUACGUGCCAGCAGCCGCGGUAAUACGUAGGGCGCAAGCGUUAUCCGGAAUUAUUGGGCGUAAAGAGCUCGUAGGCGGUUUGUCGCGUCUGCUGUGAAAUCCCGAGGCUCAACCUCGGGUCUGCAGUGGGUACGGGCAGACUAGAGUGCGGUAGGGGAGAUUGGAAUUCCUGGUGUAGCGGUGGAAUGCGCAGAUAUCAGGAGGAACACCGAUGGCGAAGGCAGAUCUCUGGGCCGUUACUGACGCUGAGGAGCGAAAGGGUGGGGAGCAAACAGGCUUAGAUACCCUGGUAGUCCACCCCGUAAACGUUGGGAACUAGUUGUGGGGUCCAUUCCACGGAUUCCGUGACGCAGCUAACGCAUUAAGUUCCCCGCCUGGGGAGUACGGCCGCAAGGCUAAAACUCAAAGGAAUUGACGGGGACCCGCACAGGCGGCGGAGCAUGCGGAUUAAUUCGAUGCAACGCGAAGAACCUUACCAAGGCUUGACAUAUACGAGAACGGGCCAGAAAUGGUCAACUCUUUGGACACUCGUAAACAGGUGGUGCAUGGUUGUCGUCAGCUCGUGUCGUGAGAUGUUGGGUUAAGUCCCGCAACGAGCGCAACCCUCGUUCUACGUUGCCAGCACGUAAUGGUGGGAACUCAUGGGAUACUGCCGGGGUCAACUCGGAGGAAGGUGGGGAUGACGUCAAAUCAUCAUGCCCCUUAUGUCUUGGGCUUCACGCAUGCUACAAUGGCCGGUACAAAGGGCUGCAAUACCGUGAGGUGGAGCGAAUCCCAAAAAGCCGGUCCCAGUUCGGAUUGAGGUCUGCAACUCGACCUCAUGAAGUCGGAGUCGCUAGUAAUCGCAGAUCAGCAACGCUGCGGUGAAUACGUUCCCGGGUCU
rnacentral:rRNA from 1 species